CUGGUUUGUUUUUAGCCUAGCAUAUUUAUUGCUAUCAGGAGUUGCUGCCUAUAUCUUUCAGCGCCUCGGCUGUAUUGGCUGAGACGUCGACUUCCAAAGAUGCUCGCAUUGUGGGGAUGCUGUGCAUUUGUGUUCCUUCAAAGAUGGACACAAACAACCCUGCAUCCGGCUCUGAAAACUAUCUCCAGGGGCUGUGGCGUGUGAUCCUGGAGGCUCUUGGUGGUUCCCACAGUGCCCAGUCAUCCCAGUAAUACCACUUAGGAUAUUUCAGCUGGUGACUUUUUUUUUUUUUUUUUUGAGAGAAAUGUUUGAGCAGAUUCCCCACAGUCUUGCUGUGUUUAGUCAAGAUUUAGGACUGUCUUUAACAUGAUGCUUUGUGAGAGUGGUUUGAGUGAGUUUUGGUUUGGUUUGGUUUUCCUGCAACCACAUCCAAAGGGGAAAAUGGCUUCACUGAGGUCAGGAACACCUGGCAGACACAGAGCAAAGAGGUUUGUAGACCAGCAGUGCUCCGGGGUCCGCGUACCAGCUCUCUCCCGCUCCGUAUGGCUGCAGCCCAGGAGCCUGGACCCCGGUGCCAGGUUUUCAGGCAGCGUCUCCCUGCUGAGCUCUGCCUGAGGCCGAGCAGGAGGGGAGGGAAGAGAUGCUGUUGUGCUGCUGGGAUGGAGCCUCCCUGGGAUGCAGCCUUGGUUCUCAGUCUCCCAUCCCUGUGUUUUCCCCAUUAAGCCAGACACUGGCACUGGAGGGCACCCACAGCCCGGUGCCCGGCUCCAUUCCUUCUCCUCCCUUGUGGCUGGUCUCUCCCGGGAGCAGUUUCAGGUCAUCACUAAAGCAGCCUGAGCACAGGGCUGGGGGAACCCCACGUCCCCCGCUCACCCCUCCUGCAUGCCAUCGCGUUGCUGCGGCCCUGGACCUGCCGGGAGAAGCGGAGCAAGCCCUGCCGAUGAUCGGCGAGGACCAGGAGCGAGCGGUGCUCGGCCACCGGCCACGCAGGCAGAGGUUACCCCUAGCCGGGCUGUCACAUCCACAUUGGAAGAUAAUUAGCAAUAAUGAACUUUGAGGCAAUGGUAACUGGAAUACCCAGGCUACACAUGGGACACUUAUGCAAUCAGGUUCCUCAACCAUCAGUCUCCUCCUUGGUCGGCUUCUCUUCCAGCACCUCCAUACCCGUUAUUUACAGCAAACCUACAUGUACAGUAUAUAUAGACCUUGUACGGCGUAACAGUAGUGAGUGGCUAUUGGAGUGGCAACACCCACUGAUUUCAAUGUACCCUUUAAUCUUAUUUAUUUGCUUCUAAUUUAUAUAUAUAUAUAAAAAUAUAUAUAAAAUUAUUUUGCUUAAAUUUCUAUGGUACACAAUAGAUGAAAAAUAAUGAAGACAGAAGUGUCUGUCUGAGUUUUUGUAGCACGAGUACGAUUUCCCUAGGCUCGUCCCGGAGGUAGGGUGUAGGGGUGAUGGUGACAGAGUAAUUCCCAAAGUAGAGAAGCAACAUUUUGCUCCAAAGCUGGAUGUGAUAGCAUUCAAAAGGUGUUACGAAGACAUUCCCUUCUAGAAACAAUGCAUUUGGGGCUUGAAGGCCAGAGGUCGGUAUCCCCCGCAUUCGGGACUGCGAUGCUCCAAACUCGGGUGGCAGAGCAGCCGGUCUGGUGUGUUCGCUCCUUCCAGACACUCCCCCGAGGUUUGCCCAUGGCUCGGUAAAGCCGGUGCAGCUCUUAAAUGAGCCAAACUUCUGCAUUAGCUGUUGGAUGCAGCCUGCAGAGAGCUGCUGGGUGUCCCGACCCCAGGGUGCGCAGAUCUCCUUUGGAGAUGGGCUUUCACCUACCCAGGAGAGCGGAGGAUGCUCCGUGCUAAACCUUGAUGCCUCUGGCUUGGUUUGUGGUGGCAACCGAAGUUGCCCGGGGGGUUUAUUCCACUCCGCAGCCUGAAUCGCUUUUGUAAAAUGGGUUGGAAAUUGAGCUCUUCACAAUGCCUUAUUUUCCUUGUUCGCUUUGUCAAUGCAAGUGUUUCCUGCGAACUUGGAGAGUGUGAGAAACUCCUGCGCAGGCUGUCCCCAAACCAGGAUCCGAGCGUUCCCGCAGCGGAGGAGAGUGGGGAGUGAGAUGUUGCUCGCUAAGUGCUGGCACCAUCGGUCCUGCUGGGCUCUGUCACCCCGAGAGGUCCUCUCUGAUGUACCCCCCAUCGCUGUGUCUGUCUAGACAUCGCCAUCACAGACCCUGCACAGCUCAGCGGAGCUCGGGGGAGUGUGAGGAGCACCCCCAAAACAAAUUCCCUGGGUUUUAGGCUAAUUUUAAAAAUUGCUCUACCUUCCAGAGAUCAUCUAGCAGCAACGCUUAAUCAGAGCACCAUCUCCUGGUCUUUCUAUUCACCCCCCACAGAGGGUUUUAAUGUCAUUCCACUGUAAAUGCCGUUGAAUGUAUUUCUUUUUGAACAAUAUAUUGUGAGUGAUCCCUCUUCUCCUACACGGUAAUAAAACUUGGAUUCGGGAGUUUUAAAAGCCGCAGUGCUG
rnacentral:lncRNA from 1 species